GCUUUGUUGUCAAAGGCAUGGUUUGGUUACGGUGUAUGGAUGAAAAGUGUCCAUGAAGGCCUAAACGGGUUCAGAGGAGAGAUGACUGGAAGUCCCGAAGCCUAUCUGCUAACGUUACCUGUCUAAAACCAAGGAAGCAGGCAAUCAAUCAUCAUGAUCCUAAAGUAUGAAGGGAUGAUGAAAGGGGGUCAGAAAGGGUCUAUUAUUCCCAGGACACCGAAGAGAGACACAGACAGUGAGAUGAGCCAGCGACCUGACUUCUACUGAAAGCGAGAUGAAAUCCUCACCUGUCCAUCUGUAUCACAUCAGGGGGAAAACUUCCACACACACACUUCUGCCAAAAGAGGUAGAAUAUCACACAAACACACAUAGACAGACGUUGAGCCUGAAUUUUUUUUCAGGAAAUGCCAAUCACUGCACAAUACUUCACUGCAGGUUCAUCACAAAUAUAAUUUACAGUUUGUUUAAAUUGCAGAAAUGUAUUAGUAAAUUAACACAGCGUAUUAAAUUGAUCAAAAGUACAACACGUAUUGCAAAUAUAUGUUUUUCUAGCCUGAAAGAUUUGAUCAAAGUUUCUAUUAACGUCUUUUGUUUAGACAGUGGCACUGAGUUUAUCAGUUAAUUGUUCUGUGUAUGAGAAGUAGAACAGCAGAUUUUAAACAGCUCUGCUUUUUAUUGCACCUGUAAUUAAAAUAAUGCUGUUGAAAUAGUAAUAUGCAGCUUGGAGAAUGAAAGGCAAAGUCAUGGUGUGAUUCCUCCCCCACACCCUUUCUGCACUUGCAGGAGAAAAUUACAACCUGGCUGCACACUUAAUAUUUCAUCCUUAAGCAAGUAUGACAAGCUCUCUUUGUGUCACUCUCCCACUCGCUCCCUCCUUCCUGCGACCUCUCUCUCUCUCACUCUCUCGUCUCACUUGCUUAGCAUUAGCUAGCACACCAUGCUUUGUCAUGUGAUGAAUAUGAGAAGUGAACAAUCAGAAAAAUAAAUUCAACUCAAAAAAAAAGAAAAAAAGAAAUGAUGACAUCAUCUAAUGAAGAGAUGUUCCCUCUGUCUCGAAACCGACUCAUUGCUGGAGAGGGUGAUGUCUCAGAGCCUCAUGCACAUUUUAGACAGUGUUGUUUUGGCAAAUUCUGGGUCCAUAACAUGUCAUCUCAGAUCACUAAACAUACUCCCGCAUAUCUAACCACAGGCGAGACACGUAAACAGAUCAUUCUAGAUCAGGGGAAAGUUAACAUGCAAUCAUAACAUUUCUUAAGUUUGUAAGACAAGCCCAAAGUAUUCUUUGGCUUUAUCAUUUAUGCCAGGGGUAUAAGCUGUGAAUGCUCCGCACCCCCAAGAUAAUGAAAUAGUAACUAAUAUUAAAGAGGACCAUGAACUACGUUUUCUUUAUUUUGUUCUGUUUUCUGAUAUUCACUUGAUUAGAUGAUUAAAUAUAAAACUUUAAUGUCUGUGUGCCCUUUUAGUUACUGUGUUUCUGAAAAUCCUCUAUUCCUUUUGAAAAUUCCUUAGGUUCAUUAGGUAUGCCCGAUAGGUAUUAGCCCGAUAAUUCAUAAGGUAUUUUAACAUUCACUGGUCUUAAACUUCAGUUCGAUUAUAAUUAUCAUAUCAUUGAUUUGGUUCAACUCAACAUCAUGAUGCAUUGACAUAGCACUCCUCAAUUUGACUUAAGAUGUAUACAGUUUUGUCAUUAAAUACACAGUCAGAUGUAUGAACUGUACAUUUAAUUUUACCUGCUCAAAGAAUACACACUUCUUUAAUGUAAAAAACAUCAAAUAAAUCAAUAAUGGCAUGCUCUGCAUUGUAUUCUGUUGCUUUUUGAGUGGGAGAGUUGGAGAGUUUUUUUAAGUGGGCAGCAGGGAUUCAGGUUCUACUGUUCAGGGCACCUAUUUUACCCUUUUUUCAAGAUUUAGGAUAAGUCUUUUGUGUCUAGUUGAUAUGAUUAUACGCGUUACUAUGGAGACAUGUUAAUACGCGGGAAACCGCACUCCUAUGUCACGUUGUGGUGGGCCUCAAAAUGGAAAGGAUUUGGAUCAACAUUAGCAAAUUUCAAAAAAGAGACUUAUUGUCUUUGUCACACCAAUGUGACUGUGGACACACUCUACCUACACACAGUUCUGUCCACACAGCUUCAAAAAGACGAUUGACAUCAUAGAUGCCCUUUAAAGACUGUCCCAAGCAAGCUCACGGGCAAAUGUUGCAAUUAAAAACCUAAAAUGGUUGGGGCAUUUUUAAAUUCUCACACACAUGCCUUGCCUGCUUUUCCAUAAUCUGCUACACACACAUGUAUCUCGGAAAAGUACCAAACUAGUUUUCAAUGAAGUGCAUUCUUAUUCGUUUGUUUGUCUCAAGGGUGUUUUCUUGUGUUCAGAAAGCUGCCAGAUUGUGUUCCAGAUCUCAAUAACUAAAAAAUAAGUUUAAUGCCAAACUAAAGCAACUAAAUCAAAUGAAAAUCUAAACUGUAUUUUCAUGUUUUUUUUUCAUGCAAAGUCUGAAGUUGUCACUCUCUGUUGUCAAUAGUAGUUUGUUGUUGAUGUUGUUCCAUCUCUGUUUUAGACUGUGAAACAAUGUUCAGUUUAAUGGUGACAUUUCAUGGACAAAGUAAUCAACGCAAGAAUUUUGCAAAGUGUCAGGUUUGUGUACAGUGUAUGUGCAUUGUUUAAAAAGAUUUUUUAGUCUUUGAAACAUAUUGAAUUAUUUAAAUUAAAUUGAAUUGAAUUGAAUUGAAUUGAAUUGAACUGAAUUGUAUUGAACUUAACUAAAUUGAAUUGAAUUAAAUACUGUAUAUGUUGGGCUUUUGUUUAUCCACAGGGUGUCAACAUUUAAGCCCAUCGUUUCACAAUUUAGUAAACCAAUAGGAAGUCAAAAAGUGCAACUAAUUGACUGGCUAAUGUACAUGAACAAAGUGCAUAAGUACACUUUGUGCUUUUGAGUGUGAGUGUGAAAUUUAGUCAUACAAUCUUUGUCCAUUGUCCAUAUUUAACCAUUUUAAAUGGUCAUGUGAAACUUUUUAAUUCUUGCAUAGCGUUCAAACUGUGGGUUCUGCUUGUCUGCAAAUACAAUAUAUAUUUAACAAA
ensembl:processed_transcript